rnacentral:lncRNA from 1 species
GUUUUUUGUACAAAUAAAUAGGUCAAGACUACCUGAAUGAUCUACAGUAUCCAAUGACUACUGGCUGGUUUUUUUUGUACAAAUAAAUAGGUCAAGAAUACUGGAAUGAUCUAUCAAUAUCCAAUGACUACUAGCUGUUCUUUUGUACUAAUAAAUAGGUCAAGACUAUUUAAAUGAUCUACAAUAUCCAAUGACUACUGGCUUUUGUACAUACUAAAUAAAGACUACCUGAAUAAUGUAAAGUAUUCUAAGUAAUGUGUAAUUUUUUUCUUGCAAUUACAUUUUUCUAAAUCAAGAAUCAUUGACAGACUACUAGUAUCCUUUUCAAACCAAAUGAUUAUGAAGAGCCUGUUGUAACAAGCUCUUAUACCCCACUAGUCCUAUAACAUAU